AUACUUACCUGGCAGGGGAGAUACCAUGAUCACGAAGGUGGUUUUCCCAGGGCGAGGCUUAUCCAUUGCACUCCGGAUGUGCUGACCCCUGCGAUUUCCCCAAAUGUGGGAAACUCGACUGCAUAAUUUGUGGUAGUGGGGGAAAAAAAAAACAAAUUUAGUUUUAUC
rfam:Myotis lucifugus cont2.312, whole genome shotgun sequence.